AUUGAACGCUGGCGGCAGGCCUAACACAUGCAAGUCGAGCGGAUGAAGGGAGCUUGCUCCUGGAUUCAGCGGCGGACGGGUGAGUAAUGCCUAGGAAUCUGCCUGGUAGUGGGGGAUAACGUCCGGAAACGGGCGCUAAUACCGCAUACGUCCUGAGGGAGAAAGUGGGGGAUCUUCGGACCUCACGCUAUCAGAUGAGCCUAGGUCGGAUUAGCUAGUUGGUGGGGUAAAGGCCUACCAAGGCGACGAUCCGUAACUGGUCUGAGAGGAUGAUCAGUCACACUGGAACUGAGACACGGUCCCCACACUUAUGCGAGGCAGCAGUGUGGAAUAUUGGAGAAUGGGCGAAAGCCUGAUCCAGCCACGCCGCGUGUGUGAAGAAGGUCUUCGGAUUGUAAAGCACUUUAAGUUGGGAGGAAGGGCAGUAAGUUAAUACCUUGCUGUUUUGACGUUACCAACAGAAUAAGCACCGGCUAACUUCGUG
rnacentral:rRNA from 1 species